rnacentral:rRNA from 1 species
UACAGAGACUGCAAGCGUUAUUCGGAUUCACUGGGCGUAAAGGGUGCGCAGGCGGCCAAGUGUGUGAGGCGUGAAAGCCUGGGGCUUAACUCCAGAAUUGCACCUCAAACUACAUGGCUAGAGCAUUGGAGAGGGUAGCAGAAUUCACGGUGUAGCAGUGAAAUGCGUAGAUAUCGUGAGGAGUACCAGAGGCGAAGGCGGCUACCUGGACAAUUGCUGACGCUCAGGCACGAAAGCGUGGGGAGCAAAAGGG